GACGAACGCUGGCGGCGUGCUUAACACAUGCAAGUCGAACGGCAAGGCCCUUCGGGGUACACGAGUGGCGAACGGGUGAGUAACACGUGGGUGAUCUGCCCUGCACUUCGGGAUAAGCCUGGGAAACUGGGUCUAAUACCGGAUAGGACCCUGGGAUGCAUGUCCUGGGGUGGAAAGCUUUUGCGGUGUGGGAUGGGCCCGCGGCCUAUCAGCUUGUUGGUGGGGUGAUGGCCUACCAAGGCGACGACGGGUAGCCGGCCUGAGAGGGUGACCGGCCACACUGGGACUGAGAGACGGCCCAGACUCCUACGGGAGGCAGCAGUGGGGAAUAUUGCACAAUGGGCGCAAGCCUGAUGCAGCGACGCCGCGUGAGGGAUGACGGCCUUCGGGUUGUAAACCUCUUUCAGCGCCGACGAAGCGCAAGUGACGGUAGGUGCAGAAGAAGGACCGGCCAACUACGUGCCAGCCGCCGCCGUAA
rnacentral:rRNA from 1 species